CAGGUUUUGGUUCAAAGAAACAGCGGAUCAAACCAACUCAUAUUCCAUCUUAACAGUCUGUAAAUCUUAUAGCUCUGAACAUCAGGCCAAUAAGGAAACACACCACUGAAACAAACCUCGGACCCUCUAUUCAAUACAAGGCACUAAACGCAAAACGACCACUGAACGACCACUGAACAAAGAUAUCAAUUGAUCAACAAUGGAUAACUAUUUGGAAAAUGGAAAACAAAUAUACGAAGAAUAUUGCUCAACAUCUGAAAACCUGCCCACAAUGCUUCCAAGAGCACCAGAGCAGACCUACAUUGAUGUAUAUCCAGAUGAAGAUCAGCCUGGUCCCAGCUUUACAGAUGACAGACGACAUCAAUUAGACUACGAGACUGAAGUUAAGGUGUAUAGGGCUUUGGAAGAGGUAGAUGGAAACUUCAUUGUUCUUCACAGUUUCAAAUACACGCAUCAUCAAUAUCGUUUGUGUGCAGGUAAAAGUCAUAUCCGAAAAGGAUGUUCUAAUUGUAAAGGCAAAAAUGCAGAAAAUCAGGAGGGGGAAAGUGACUUUCUCAUCAUUUGUGCGGACAGUUUCAUUAUCAUCGAGGUAAAGAACAUGGAUAAUGUUGGAGAGGUUUUGGAAUGUGAACCAGACUUCCACCUGUGUUCAAUUGGCGAGGACUGGCAACCUCAGUGUAACAGAGACCAGCAGUUGAAAGCAUUAAUCGGAACGUUCCAGAAAUCAGCCAAACAAAGAAACAAGAUUGUGGAACUGAUCAAGUGUAUUGAUAAGGAUGCAAAAAUUCUUCAGUUUACUGCCUAUCCUAAUUUUAGUAAACAGUUUAAAGAUGAGUUUAAAUUUAGUGAGAUUACAGAACUCCGGUUAAGUGACGAUGAACUGUCAACUAUCAUAUUUGAAGAGGACCUUUG